GAUGAACGCUGGCGGCAGGCUUAACACAUGCAAGUCGAGCGGAAACGAGAAUAGCUUGCUAUUCGGCGUCGAGCGGCGGACGGGUGAGUAAUGCUUGGGAAUAUGCCUUAUGGUGGGGGACAACAGUUGGAAACGACUGCUAAUACCGCAUAACGUCUACGGACCAAAGGGGGCUUCGGCUCUCGCCUUUAGAUUGGCCCAAGUGGGAUUAGCUAAUUGGUGAGGUAAUGGCUCACCAAGACAAUGACACCUAACUGGUUUGAGAGGAUGAUCAGUCACACUGGAACUGAGACACGGUCCAG
rnacentral:rRNA from 1 species